rnacentral:rRNA from 1 species
AGUGAACGCUGGCGGUAGGCCUAACACAUGCAAGUCGAACGGCAGCACAGUAAGAGCUUGCUCUUACGGGUGGCGAGUGGCGGACGGGUGAGGAAUACAUCGGAAUCUACUUUUUCGUGGGGGAUAACGUAGGGAAACUUACGCUAAUACCGCAUACGACCUACGGGUGAAAGCAGGGGAUCUUCGGACCUUGCGCGAUUGAAUGAGCCGAUGUCGGAUUAGCUAGUUGGCGGGGUAAAGGCCCACCAAGGCGACGAUCCGUAGCUGGUCUGAGAGGAUGAUCAGCCACACUGGAACUGCGACACGGUCCAGACUCCUACGGGAGGCAGCAGUGGGGAAUAUUGGACAAUGGGCGCAAGCCUGAUCCAGCCAUACCGCGUGGGUGAAGAAGGCCUUCGGGUUGUAAAGCCCUUUUGUUGGGAAAGAAAAGCAGCAGGUUAAUACCCCGCUGUUCUGACGGUACCCAAAGAAUAAGCACCGGCUAACUUCGU